rnacentral:lncRNA from 1 species
CGAUGUCUCGGAGAGGGAAGAUACUAUCAGUCACAGGACAAGGCAUAUCUAGCACGUUCAACCUGCUAUACCAGGGUUACGGACACCCAUCGAUAGGCGUCAACGAACACUGCUGUUGAUUUUGGUUCGCGUGCAAGAUGAUGAGCGCAAAACAAGCGAAGAUUGAUGCCUACAAGGCAGAGAUCGAGCAACUAAGAAGAGAGACACACACUCACCGUACGCUUGUGUCUGUGACAGUAGCCGGCUUGCAGCAGCACUGCGAGACGCACGCAUCUGAGGACUGGCUUCUUGGGAAUGGAAACCCUCACGACAACCCAUUCAAGCCUCUGAGGCCCAGUAUACUUGUGUCGCCGCCAUGCACCGUAAUCUGACGACCGUUCCUGACGUUACCAUCGCGCAAAUCAAACUGGACAAUCGCAUACUCGUGACGUUCAAGUGGACCGCUAUCUAUCGAGAGCACACUCUUCAACGACAAUUACCUACAGAGCAGCAAACGCCAAUCAGGAAUGGAGCCAGUUGGUGCAAAAACCAUUGCAGCUGCUGCCACCUUUUACCAGUUAAAUUUACAAAUGAUAUGCCGCUCUGACAAAAUAAAAUCGCACACGCGAGUCUUACUUAUUACUGGGGCACGUUUAAAUAUUCCUUACAUUGAGACACAGAGCGCGGUUACAUACUUACGCUAUGUAAAUAAAGAGAUGGAGCGUCGUAACUUGACAGCGUGGCAAUCAUAACCACAGGCUGUUGCCAGCUAUAUAUGUACGCCUCUGCAUAGAUGAAUCAUUCCCCUAACUGCAUAACGCGAGCCGAACGAACAAAGCUGUUUACUGCCAACGCCUUGCACGCAUGGCUCGCGUUAUCCGUGGGUAACCGGUCUCAUCCUCAAACCUAGUCGUCAAGUUUUAGUAACUCAACGUAAGCGUCCGUUUGCAUUUAGCAGAUAUUCGUGGCUGUCCGUGCGGAUGAGUUGUAUAUAUGAUGAGUGGAUAAGUACGUAUAACUAUAUAUAAAAGCGGUCGCAACACGAUCGCUCAAAUUGUUCAGAACUACAGGAGCAGAUGGUAGAAAAUUGAAUAAAAUAUAUAUAAUUAUGUGCACGAAUCGA